rnacentral:misc_RNA from 1 species
ACAAUAAAAAAAUAAAUAAAUAAAGAAUGACUUGUGAUCAUGUAAAGUUUACAUGCUCUACCAAAAGUUUGUCAUCUCGUUCUCCCCCUCUACAAAAUCCCACCCUAGACCCAGCAUAAAUUUGAUCACUGAAUACUUAAUGGAACUUCCAAAAUUUUACAGUAGCUUUUACGUUAUUCCUUUGAGGAUAUUCAAGACUCAAAGAAUUUCCUAGAUACUAAAAUUUGAGAUUGUAAAUAGUAAAUUGGUUUACAUUCAAAUCAAAUUGGGAUUGUAAUUAACCCUAUAAUUUUUUUUUUGGAGGGUAGACCCAAUAUUUUCGAAGGAACUUGAAACGAAAAUUCUAUAGAUAUGACUAUGCUUGAUCUCGACGUAAAA